rnacentral:rRNA from 1 species
GACGUAGGGGGCCAGCGUUGUUCGGAAUUACUGGGCGUAAAGGGUUCGUAGGCGGUGUGGCAAGUCGGGAGUGAAAUUUCUGGGCUCAACUCAGAGACUGCUUCCGAAACUGCUGUGCUUGAGUGUGGGAGAGGCGCGUGGAAUUGCAGGUGUAGCGGUGAAAUGCGUAGAUAUCUGCAGGAACACCCGUGGCGAAAGCGGCGCGCUGGACCACUACUGACGCUGAGGCGCGAAAGCCAGGGGAGCGAACGGG